GGGCCACUGAAGACAGGAUCCGUGAUGACCUCCACCAUGGGCUGGUCCCCUCUCCUCCUGACCCUCCUCGCUCACUGCACAGGUUCCUGGGCCCAGUCUGUGCUGACUCAGCCGGCCUCAGUGUCUGGGUCCCUGGGCGAGAGGGUCACCAUCUCCUGCACUGGAAGCAGCUCCAACAUCGGUGGAUAUUAUGUGAGCUGGUACCAACAGCUCCCUGGAACAGGUCCCAGAACCGUCAUCUAUAGUAGUAGUAACCGACCCUCAGGCGUCCCUGAUCGAUUCUCUGGCUCCAAAUCAGGCAGCACAGCCACCCUGACCAUCUCUGGGCUCCAGGCUGAGGACGAGGCUGAUUAUUACUGCUCUACGUGGGAGAGUAGUCUCAGUGCUGGCACAGUGCUCCAUGCCUGUGAGGAAAUGCACAAUCUCGGCCCACUCACAUGGUGCCAGUACCCAGGCCCAUCCCUGCAGAAGGUGGAGAUGGACAUGAUGGGCUUCCAGGUACCAAGUUCCCCGUCCCAGCCUGUGCUGACCCAGCCGCCCUCCCUCUCUGCAUCCCUGGGAACAACAGCCAGACUCACCUGCACCCUGAGCAGCGGCUGCAGCGGUGGCCAUACGCUGGUUCCAGCAGCCAGGAGGCCUCCUGAGUACCUGCUGAUGGUCUACUGA